rnacentral:misc_RNA from 1 species
GAUGAAGAACGUAGCGAAAUGCGAUAAGUAGUGUGAAUUGCAGAAUUUAGUGAAUCAUCGAAUCUUUGAACGCACAUUGCGCCCGCCAGUACUCUGGCGGGCAUGCCUGUUCGAGCGUCAUUUCAACCCUCGGGCCCCGCAUUCGUGCGGGCCCCGGCGUUGGGGACCGGCCUCCGCAUCGGACGGCCGCCCCCGAAACCCAGUGGCGGUCCCGCCGCGGCCUUCUCUGCGUAGUAGCAUACACCUCGCACUGGAGAGCGGCGCGGCCACGCCGUAAAAGAAACGAACUUUCUGAAGGUUGACCUCGGAUCAGGUAGGAAUACCCGCUGAACUUAAGCAUAUCAAUAAGCGGAGGA